ACGAACGCUGGCGGCGUGCUUAACACAUGCAAGUCGAACGGAAAGGCCCUGCUUUUGUGGGGUGCUCGAGUGGCGAACGGGUGAGUAACACGUGAGUAACCUGCCCUUGACUUUGGGAUAACUUCAGGAAACUGGGGCUAAUACCGGAUAGGAGCUCCUGCUGCAUGGUGGGGGUUGGAAAGUUUCGGCGGUUGGGGAUGGACUCGCGGCUUAUCAGCUUGUUGGGGGGGUAGUGGCUUACCAAGGCUUUGACGGGUAGCCGGCCUGAGAGGGUGACCGGCCACAUUGGGACUGAGAUACGGCCCAGACUCCUACGGGAGGCAGCAGUGGGGAAUAUUGCACAAUGGGCGGAAGCCUGAUGCAGCAACGCCGCGUGCGGGAUGACGGCCUUCGGGUUGUAAACCGCUUUCGCCUGUGACGAAGCGUGAGUGACGGUAAUGGGUAAAGAAGCACCGGCUAACUACGUG
rnacentral:rRNA from 1 species